GAUGUACUCCCUCCGUUCGCAAUUACUUGUCGCAAAAAUGGAUGUAUCUAAAUGUAUUUUAGUUCUAGAUACAUCAAUAUCUGAGACAAGUAAUUUCGAACGGAGGGAAUACAAC
rfam:Triticum aestivum genome assembly, contig: Triticum_aestivum_CS42_TGACv1_scaffold_471610_6AL